rnacentral:rRNA from 1 species
AGUGAACGCUGGCGGUAGGCCUAACACAUGCAAGUCGAACGGCAGCACAGUAAGAGCUUGCUCUUACGGGUGGCGAGUGGCGGACGGGUGAGGAAUACAUCGGAAUCUUCUUUUUCGUGGGGGAUAACGUAGGGAAACUUACGCUAAUACCGCAUACGACCUACGGGUGAAAGCAGGGGAUCUUCGGACCUUGCGCGAUUGAAUGAGCCGAUGUCGGAUUAGCUAGUUGGCGGGGUAAAGGCCCACCAAGGCGACGAUCCGUGGCUGGUCUGAGAGGAUGAUCAGCCACACUGGAACUGAGACACGGUCCAGACUCCUACGGGAGGCAGCAGUGGGGAAUAUUGGACAAUGGGCGCAAGCCUGAUCCAGCCAUACCGCGUGGGUGAAGAAGGCCUUCGGGUUGUAAAGCCCUUUUGUUGGGAAAGAAAAGCAGCAGGUUAAUACCCCGCUGUUCUGACGGUACCCAAAGAAUAAGCACCGGCUAACUUCGU